rnacentral:rRNA from 1 species
UACGUAGGGUGCGAGCGUUAAUCGGAAUUACUGGGCGUAAAGCGUGCGCAGGCGGUUUUGUAAGCCAGAUGUGAAAUCCCCGGGCUUAACCUGGGAAUGGCAUUUGGGACUGCAAGGCUCGAGUGCGGCAGAGGGGGAUGGAAUUCCGCGUGUAGCAGUGAAAUGCGUAGAUAUCCGGAGGAACACCAGCGGCGAAGGCGGCAUCCUGGACUGGUCCUGACACUCAAGAGCGAAAGCGUGGGGAGCGAGCCGG